rnacentral:rRNA from 1 species
GGGUUGUGAGGUUAAGCGACUAAGCGUACACGGUGGAUGCCCUGGCAGUCAGAGGCGAUGAAGGACGUGCUAAUCUGCGAUAAGCGUCGGUAAGGUGAUAUGAACCGUUAUAACCGGCGAUUUCCGAAUGGGGAAACCCAGUGUGUUUCGACACACUAUCAUUAACUGAAUCCAUAGGUUAAUGAGGCGAACCGGGGGAACUGAAACAUCUAAGUACCCCGAGGAAAAGAAAUCAACCGAGAUUCCCCCAGUAGCGGCGAGCGAACGGGGAGCAGCCCAGAGCCUGAAUCAGUGUGUGUGUUAGUGGAAGCGUCUGGAAAGGCGUGCGAUACAGGGUGACAGCCCCGUACACAAAAAUGCACAUAUUGUGAGCUCGAUGAGUAGGGCGGGACACGUGGUAUCCUGUCUGAAUAUGGGGGGACCAUCCUCCAAGGCUAAAUACUCCUGACUGACCGAUAGUGAACCAGUACCGUGAGGGAAAGGCGAAAAGAACCCCGGCGAGGGGAGUGAAAAAGAACCUGAAACCGUGUACGUACAAGCAGUGGGAGCCUCUUUUAUGGGGUGACUGCGUACCUUUUGUAUAAUGGGUCAGCGACUUAUAUUCUGUAGCAAGGUUAACCGAAUAGGGGAGCCGAAGGGAAACCGAGUCUUAACUGGGCGUUAAGUUGCAGGGUAUAGACCCGAAACCCGGUGAUCUAGCCAUGGGCAGGUUGAAGGUUGGGUAACACUAACUGGAGGACCGAACCGACUAAUGUUGAAAAAUUAGCGGAUGACUUGUGGCUGGGGGUGAAAGGCCAAUCAAACCGGGAGAUAGCUGGUUCUCCCCGAAAGCUAUUUAGGUAGCGCCUCGUGAAUUCAUCUCCGGGGGUAGAGCACUGUUUCGGCAAGGGGGUCAUCCCGACUUACCAACCCGAUGCAAACUGCGAAUACCGGAGAAUGUUAUCACGGGAGACACACGGCGGGUGCUAACGUCCGUCGUGAAGAGGGAAACAACCCAGACCGCCAGCUAAGGUCCCAAAGUCAUGGUUAAGUGGGAAACGAUGUGGGAAGGCCCAGACAGCCAGGAUGUUGGCUUAGAAGCAGCCAUCAUUUAAAGAAAGCGUAAUAGCUCACUGGUCGAGUCGGCCUGCGCGGAAGAUGUAACGGGGCUAAACCAUGCACCGAAGCUGCGGCAGCGACGCUUAUGCGUUGUUGGGUAGGGGAGCGUUCUGUAAGCCUGUGAAGGUGUGCUGUGAGGCAUGCUGGAGGUAUCAGAAGUGCGAAUGCUGACAUAAGUAACGAUAAAGCGGGUGAAAAGCCCGCUCGCCGGAAGACCAAGGGUUCCUGUCCAACGUUAAUCGGGGCAGGGUGAGUCGACCCCUAAGGCGAGGCCGAAAGGCGUAGUCGAUGGGAAACAGGUUAAUAUUCCUGUACUUGGUGUUACUGCGAAGGGGGGACGGAGAAGGCUAUGUUGGCCGGGCGACGGUUGUCCCGGUUUAAGCGUGUAGGCUGGUUUUCCAGGCAAAUCCGGAAAAUCAAGGCUGAGGCGUGAUGACGAGGCACUACGGUGCUGAAGCAACAAAUGCCCUGCUUCCAGGAAAAGCCUCUAAGCAUCAGGUAACAUCAAAUCGUACCCCAAACCGACACAGGUGGUCAGGUAGAGAAUACCAAGGCGCUUGAGAGAACUCGGGUGAAGGAACUAGGCAAAAUGGUGCCGUAACUUCGGGAGAAGGCACGCUGAUAUGUAGGUGAAGUCCCUUGCGGAUGGAGCUGAAAUCAGUCGAAGAUACCAGCUGGCUGCAACUGUUUAUUAAAAACACAGCACUGUGCAAACACGAAAGUGGACGUAUACGGUGUGACGCCUGCCCGGUGCCGGAAGGUUAAUUGAUGGGGUCAGCGCAAGCGAAGCUCUUGAUCGAAGCCCCGGUAAACGGCGGCCGUAACUAUAACGGUCCUAAGGUAGCGAAAUUCCUUGUCGGGUAAGUUCCGACCUGCACGAAUGGCGUAAUGAUGGCCAGGCUGUCUCCACCCGAGACUCAGUGAAAUUGAACUCGCUGUGAAGAUGCAGUGUACCCGCGGCAAGACGGAAAGACCCCGUGAACCUUUACUAUAGCUUGACACUGAACAUUGAGCCUUGAUGUGUAGGAUAGGUGGGAGGCUUUGAAGUGUGGACGCCAGUCUGCAUGGAGCCGACCUUGAAAUACCACCCUUUAAUGUUUGAUGUUCUAACGUGGACCCGUGAUCCGGGUUGCGGACAGUGUCUGGUGGGUAGUUUGACUGGGGCGGUCUCCUCCUAAAGAGUAACGGAGGAGCACGAAGGUUGGCUAAUCCUGGUCGGACAUCAGGAGGUUAGUGCAAUGGCAUAAGCCAGCUUGACUGCGAGCGUGACGGCGCGAGCAGGUGCGAAAGCAGGUCAUAGUGAUCCGGUGGUUCUGAAUGGAAGGGCCAUCGCUCAACGGAUAAAAGGUACUCCGGGGAUAACAGGCUGAUACCGCCCAAGAGUUCAUAUCGACGGCGGUGUUUGGCACCUCGAUGUCGGCUCAUCACAUCCUGGGGCUGAAGUAGGUCCCAAGGGUAUGGCUGUUCGCCAUUUAAAGUGGUACGCGAGCUGGGUUUAGAACGUCGUGAGACAGUUCGGUCCCUAUCUGCCGUGGGCGCUGGAGAACUGAGGGGGGCUGCUCCUAGUACGAGAGGACCGGAGUGGACGCAUCACUGGUGUUCGGGUUGUCAUGCCAAUGGCACUGCCCGGUAGCUAAAUGCGGAAGAGAUAAGUGCUGAAAGCAUCUAAGCACGAAACUUGCCCCGAGAUGAGUUCUCCCUGACUCCUUGAGAGUCCUGAAGGAACGUUGAAGACGACGACGUUGAUAGGCCGGGUGUGUAAGCGCAGCGAUGCGUUGAGCUAACCGGUACUAAUGAACCGUGAGGCUUAACCUUACAACGCCGAAG